rnacentral:rRNA from 1 species
GAUGAACGCUGGCGGCGUGCCUAAUACAUGCAAGUCGAGCGAACGGACGAGAAGCUUGCUUCUCUGAUGUUAGCGGCGGACGGGUGAGUAACACGUGGAUAACCUACCUAUAAGACUGGGAUAACUUCGGGAAACCGGAUCUAAUACCGGAUGAUAUUUUGAACCGCAUGGUUCAAAAGUGAAAGACGGUCUUGCUGUCACUUAUAGAUGGAUCCGCGCUGCAUUAGCUAGUUGGUAAGGUAACGGCUUACCAAGGCAACGAUGCAUAGCCGACCUGAGAGGGUGAUCGGCCACACUGGAACUGAGACACGGUCCAGACUCCUACGGGAGGCAGCAGUAGGGAAUCUUCCGCAAUGGGCGAAAGCCUGACGGAGCAACGCCGCGUGAGUGAUGAAGGUCUUCGGAUCGUAAAACUCUGUUAUUAGGGAAGAACAUAUGUGUAAGUAACUGUGCACAUCUUGGCGGUACCUAAUCAGAAAGCCACGGCUAACUACGUG